GGUAGCUCAGUUGGUUAGAGCGUGGUGCUGAUAAUGCCAAGGUUGCAGGUUUGAUCCUCAUAAGGGUCACCU